AGCUAUAAAGAUAUUUGAACAUUAAUUUAAACGUUUUCAUAAAUGCAACCUUGAAAUGAUGGUGGGUCUAUAAAAAUACUUUCAAAGAAGAUUUGUGGAAAGGACCCCAAAUAGGUGACCAAAGAAGCAUCAAAACUACCAAUAGUCUCUUCUCGCAAUAUGGCACUCAUCACUAGCAAAACAAGGACGAUUAUCUGCAUAACUGCAAUUGCUCUCUUUGUUGUUCCGAUGAUGUGUUCUAUAUUACCAUCCUCUCAUGCAGUUGAACAGUGGACAUGCCAGCCUUUAAAAAAUUGCACUUCUCAUUUGUGCCACUCUCAUUGCAAAAAAGGAGGAGUUGGUGGUCACAAGGUUGGCUACAAAUGUCUCGAUAAGGAUGGGUGUUGCUGCGGAAAAAAGGUUACGAUACAAAAAUGAUAUCACCGGUGGUGAUCAUGCUUUGUGAAAAGCAAUGUUGAUGAAUAAGAUCCUUUAUUGUAAUUGAUCAAUAUGCAUUUUAUGCAUUAAGAAAUCUUAAUUGAAUAACUUAUGUUUCUUA